GCACAAGCGGUGGAGCAUGUGGUUCAAUUCGAAGCAACGCGAAGAACCUUACCAGCCCUUGACAUGUCCCGUAUGAGUACCAGAGAUGGAACUCUUCAGUUCGGCUGGCGGGAACACAGGUGCUGCAUGGCUGUCGUCAGCUCGUGUCGUGAGAUGUUGGGUUAAGUCCCGCAACGAGCGCAACCCUCGCCCUUAGUUGCCAUCAUUUAGUUGGGCACUCUAAGGGGACUGCCGGUGAUAAGCCGCGAGGAAGGUGGGGAUGACGUCAAGUCCUCAUGGCCCUUACGGGCUGGGCUACACACGUGCUACAAUGGCGGUGACAGUGGGAUGCAAUGGGGUAACCCUGCGCAAAUCUCAAAAAGCCGUCUCAGUUCGGAUUGUGCUCUGCAACUCGAGCACAUGAAGUUGGAAUCGCUAGUAAUCGCAGAUCAGCACGCUGCGGUGAAUACGUUCCCGGGC
rnacentral:rRNA from 1 species